AUUGAACGCUGGCGGCAUGCCUUACACAUGCAAGUCGAACGGUAACGGGCCUUCGGGUGCCGACGAGUGGCGAACGGGUGCGUAAUACAUCGGAACGUGCCCGAUCGUGGGGGAUAACGAGGCGAAAGCUUUGCUAAUACCGCAUACGAUCUACGGAUGAAAGCAGGGGACCGCAAGGCCUUGCGCGGACGGAGCGGCCGAUGGCAGAUUAGGUAGUUGGUGGGAUAAAAGCUUACCAAGCCGACGAUCUGUAGCUGGUCUGAGAGGAUGAUCAGCCACACUGGGACUGAGACACGGCCCAGACUCCUACGGGAGGCAGCAGUGGGGAAUUUUGGACAAUGGGCGCAAGCCUGAUCCAGCCAUGCCGCGUGCAGGAUGAAGGCCUUCGGGUUGUAAACUGCUUUUGUACGGAACGAAAAGCCUUCUUUUAAUACAGGAGGGUCAUGACGGUACCGUAAGAAUAAGCACCAGCUAACUACGUG
rnacentral:rRNA from 1 species